UAAUACGUAGGGGGCAAGCGUUGUCCGGAAUCAUUGGGCGUAAAGAGCGUGUAGGCGGUCCGAUAAGUCCGCUCUGAAAGCCCGGGGCUCAACCCCGGGAGGCGGGCGGAUACUGUCGGGCUAGAGUCCGGAAGAGGCAAGUGGAAUUCCUGGUGUAGCGGUGAAAUGCGCAGAUAUCAGGAGGAACACCGAUGGCGAAGGCAGCUUGCUGGGACGGUACUGACGCUGAGACGCGAAAGCGUGGGGAGCAAACAGGAUUAGAUACCCUGGUAGUCCACGCUGUAAACGAUGGUCACUAGGUGUGGGGGGUGUCGACUCCCCCCGUGCCGGCGCUAACGCAUUAAGUGACCCGCCUGGGGAGUACGGCCGCAAGGCUA
rnacentral:rRNA from 1 species